UACGAAGGGAGCUAGCGUUGUUCGGAAUCACUGGGCGUAAAGCGCACGUAGGCGGACGUGUCAGUCAGGGGUGAAAUCCCGGAGCUCAACUUCGGAACUGCCUUUGAUACAGCACAUCUGGAGUCCGGAAGAGGUGGGUGGAAUUCCUAGUGUAGAGGUGAAAUGCGCAGAUAUCAGGAAGAACACCCGUGGCUAAGGCGGUUCUCUAGUACGGUACUGACGCUGAGGCGCGAAAGCCAGGGGAGCGAACGGG
rnacentral:rRNA from 1 species